rnacentral:rRNA from 1 species
GAUGAACGCUGGCGGCGUGCCUAAUACAUGCAAGUCGAGCGAACGGACGAGAAGCUUGCUUCUCUGAUGUUAGCGGCGGGCGGGUGAGUAACACGUGGAUAACCUACCUAUAAGACUGGGAUAACUUCGGGAAACCGGAGCUAAUACCGGAUAAUAUUUUGAACCGCAUGGUUCAAAAGUGAAAGACGGUCUUGCUGUCACUUAUAGAUGGAUCCGCGCUGCAUUAGCUAGUUGGUAAGGUAACGGCUUACCAAGGCAACGAUGCAUAGCCGACCUGAGAGGGUGAUCGGCCACACUGGAACGUAGACACGGUCCAGACUCCUACGGGAGGCAGCAGUAGGGAAUCUUCCGCAAUGGGCGAAAGCCUGACGGAGCAACGCCGCGUGAGUGAUGAAGGUCUUCGGAUCGUAAAACUCUGUUAUUAGGGAAGAACAUAUGUGUAAGUAACUGUGCACAUCUUGACGGUACCUAAUCAGAAAGCCACGGCUAACUACGUG